rnacentral:rRNA from 1 species
UACGUAGGGGGCGAGCGUUGUCCGGAGUUACUGGGCGUAAAGGGCGUGCAGGCGGUGCAGUAAGUUUGGAGUGACAGUACCCGGCUCAACUGUGUAAGGCCUUCGAAAACUGCUGGACUUGAGGGCCAGAGAGGGACAUAGAAUUCCGGGUGGAGUGGUGAAAUGCGUAGAUAUCCGGAGGAAUACCAAAGGCGAAGGCAGUGUCCUGGCUGGCAUCUGACGCUGAGGCGCGAAAGCUAGGGGAGCGAACAGG